UCAGUCUAACAAACUCAGCAUCUUGCGAACAAAACGAAGAUUACUUAAAAAAAAAGUAUUUCAUCUGAAAAUUAAUUUCAUAUCAAUGUAUUGUAAGUUCUUAUGGUUAUAAUUAACAAUUUGAAAUUCUUUUAUAAAUUUAUACUAAAAUUAAUACCAUAUAUUUAUUUUUUAUUAAUUAGAUAGAUUUAAUUUACUACAGGGGAUGCUACGAAUAAGCUUAACAAGAGUAUUUUAAUAAAUUGAUUAAAUAUGAAAGAAUCAAUUGCAAAAUAAAAAAUUGUCCAUCAAAGUAUUUUUUAGCUUUGUCAUUUAGACGCAUUUACAAAGAGGACAAGUACUUUUAUUAAAUAAAUAAUUAAAUGAUCACUGUCUAACCGAAACGAGAGUAAUAACAGGAUAAAGAAUUUCGUAUGCCUAACCCUAUAAAGAAAAAAUGAUUAGUUCGAGAUAAAAAAACACCGUUAUCUUAGAAUUAUGUAAAUGUAAAUUAAAAAAAUGAACUUUUUUUAAUUAAAAUGAAGUUUUAUGAAACCUUUUGAUUAUUUACUUUUAUUAAAAUUACAAAGUUAUUUUUUUUAAUUAAAAGACAAUAUUGAAACUACAAUUAAAAUGUCCAAGAAUGUCAAAUGUAUACACUUUUACUAGAAAAAAAUUUCUUAUUCUACAUAGAAACAAUGAAGAUAAUCCUUGAAAAUGAUGGAAAGUAAUUUUUGGUUAACGCCAGAAAAAUAAUCUAGAAAAUUACUUUAAUUUUCUAAUAAUUAAGAUAUAUGAACAAAAGAGUUCUGUAUUUUUCAUAACGGUAAAAAGGUGGAUUGUAUCCACUAAUUAACAUAAUUAAUAAAAUGUUGACUUAUACUUAAUUCAUAUUUAUUGAAAUAACAUUAUUGACUUAGUGAGUGCACCGAGCUCUCCGGUUACCUGACAUGAAAAUUAACUUAGCUUAAAUUGUGGCCAAGAAAAAUUAUAAUAAAAAACUGAAAUGUA